rnacentral:rRNA from 1 species
AGAAAAUACAAUGAUUCCCCUAGUAACGGCGAGUGAAGCGGGAAAAGCUCAAAUUUGAAAUCUAUCAAUUUUAUUGAUCGAAUUGUAGUUUAAAGAUCCAUUUUCUCUGGUUUGGUCAGGUAUAAGUCCUUUGAGACAAGGCAUCAUAGAAGGUGAUAAUCCUGUUUAUGACUUGACUUCAGACCGGUUGUGAUAUGGUUUCUAUGAGUCGGGUUGUUUGGGAUUGCAGCCCUAAAUGGGAGGUAAAUACCUUCUAAAGCUAAAUAUUGGCGAGAGACCGAUAGCGAACAAGUACCGUGAGGGAAAGAUGAAAAGAACUUUGAAAAGAGAGUUAAAUAGUACGUGAAAUUGUCAAUAGUGAACGGUAUGGAACUAUUGUUAGCGUUUAAGAAAUCAGCCUAUCAAAUUUUUGAUUGGUGCACUUUCUUAUUCGCUGGUCAACAUCAGUUUAGUUUGAAGUAAAAAGUGUUUUUUUUGUAAGCUCUUUUGUUUAUAAAGAAGGACUCUAUGCUUUGGAUUGGACUGAGGAAUGCAGUAUAGUCAUAGGGUAAACUAGUUUGCCUUCUGAAGCUUUGCUAUAAACAGUCUGACUGAUUGUAGUAAAGAAUUGAUGAAGCACGGCUAGUGUUCCACUCCUUUUAUACUUAGGAUGUUGACAAAAUGGUUUCAUGCCACCCGUCUUGAAACACGGACCAAGGAGUCUAACAUAUCUGCGAGUAUUUGAGUGUCAAACUCAUAUGCGAAAUGAAAGUGAAUAAGAUGAGAUUCUUUUUCCUCGUGAAAUUGAUGCACCAUCGACCGGUCUGGAUAUUUUUGGAUAGAUCUGAGUUAGAGCAUAUAUGUUAGGACCCGAAAGAUGGUGAACUAAGCCUGAAUAGGGUGAAGUCAGAGGAAACUCUGAUGGAGGCUCGUAGCGGUUCUGACGUGCAAAUCGAUCGUCGAAUUUGGGUUUAGGGGCGAAAGACUAAUCGAA